AACGCAAACAUGCCUUGUGAGUGCAUUGAGUUCACAAGAAUGUUUUGGGCAUUUAUUUAAAUUAAUUUACAUUCAUUACAUUUUAUGUGCAGGAGGAACAGGCACUUUUUCUAUAUAUUAAACCCACAGCACCAGACUUCAAGUGUACAGAGAAUAUCAAAUGUUUUGCUCAAACUUCGUAUAUUAUAUAUUGAGAAGGUUUUUAAAGCGAUCUUUCAAAAGAUAUGCGCCCAACGUGGGGCUCGAACCCACGACCCUGAGAUUAAGAGUCUCAUGCUCUACCGACUGAGCUAGCCGGGCUUGCGUAACAUCAGGAAACUCCCCCUUUACAAACCAUGAAGCGCGAAACCUGCCCCCUUCCUGCCCUCUCAAGAGCUCGCUCCAAGACUGAUGUAAUUACACAGCGUGUUCACCACUGCAUUCACACAGCUUCUGAGUAGGAGUGCUGAUCACGAAACAGGUUCCUUCCUGUCCAUGUCAUCUUAUUCAAUGUAAAUCUAAACGUACAACUGAUCAUAGAUCAGCACUGUUACUCUAAAAGGUUUUGUGAAUACAGACAGUGAUUCUAGAUAAACUGCUGGUGUAAUAUGUACUCAGGUCAUGGUCAUAGAAAGGGUAAUGGUCAUGAAAAGGGUAAUCAUCACUGGUAAUGUUGCCCUCUCAACAUUCAUAUGAUGCAAUAAGGCAAAAGAUCCACCCAGUAUUUAUUUAUUCCAGUAUUUAUUCCAAUGCUAAUUGCUUUUCAGCAUCAAUGAAUCACUUACCACAGGAUUGCCAGACACUUGAUCAAAACAACCAUUACAAAGCACAUUCAUAAAGGAGUUCAUCCGGUUAUAUUAUAGGACAGUGUUAUGUUUGGGGGGCUGACGCCAUGACACUCACCCCUACCCCAUCCCUUCUCUAGUGUAGGGUGUAGGCUUCUCUCACCCCUACACCAUCCCUUCUCUAGUGUAGGGUGUAGGCUUCUCUCACCCCUUCCCUUCUCUAGUGUAGGGUGUAGGCUUCUCUCACCCCAUCCCUUCUCUAGUGUAGGGUGUAGGCUUCUCUCACCCCUACCCCAUCCCUUCUCUAGUGUAGGGUGUAGGCUUCUCUCACCCCUACCCCAUCCCUUCUCUAGUGUAGGGUGUAGGCUUCUCUCACCCCUACCCCAUCCCUUCUCUAGUGUAGGGUGUAGGCUUCUCUCACCCCUACCCCAUCCCUUCUCUAGUGUAGGGUGUAGGCCUAUUCAAGAGUAUUACAACAAGUUUAGAAAAAUAUUCAAUCAAUCAAACCAACAAAAAAAUUACUAUCCUAUAGUCCAUGCACUUAAUGCAUUUUAGGAAACAACUGAAAUCUCGAUGAUUAAACUAAGAUCAACAAAUGUAUGACCAUAAAGGCAAACACAGAGUUGUAAAGGUUAGUUGUAGCAUGGUAAUCUCUUAUUUCCUUAGACAGCAAGCUACACCAUACUAGGUAAAGUAUAAAACAACAACAAGCAAAAACAUUCUUUUUUUUUUGUUGGACAAAAUACAAAAUCAGGGAAGCGCACAAGAUGUUACGGUGCGUGAAUGAGGACCCAAAAGCGAAUCAACUUAAACAGAGCUUCUUUAAUUACCAAACAUAGGUAGGCUCAGAUGGACCGGCAGAUUCCGACAGGACAGGACAAGGUUACAGCAAACAUGACGACAGUCUGGUUCAGGCAUGAAUGACACAAACAAACAAGAAUCCGACAAGGACAGGAGCAGAA
rnacentral:lncRNA from 13 species